AACACGUACACUAACCUUCCUCGAGCGGGAAUAGCCCAGAGUAAAUUUGGAUUAAUACCCCAUAAUAUAUUUGAUAAGGCAUCUUAUUAAUAUUAAAGCUUCGGCACUUGAUGAUGGGUGUGCGGCUGAUUAGAUAGUUGGCGGGGUAACGGCCCACCAAGUCUACGAUCAGUAGCUGAUGUGAGAGCAUGAUCAGCCACACGGGCACUGAGACACGGGCCCGACUCCUACGGGAGGCAGCAGUAAGGAAUAUUGGACAAUGGACGAAAGUCUGAUCCAGCCAUGCCCGCGUGAAGGAUUAAGGUCCUCUGGAUUGUAAACUUCUUUUAUAUGGGACGAAAAAAGGGCAUUCUUGUUCACUUGACGGUACCAUAUGAAUAAGCACCGGCUAACUCCGUG
rnacentral:rRNA from 1 species